rnacentral:pre_miRNA from 1 species
AUCAUUGGGGAUCUGGUUAAAAUGCAGAUUCUGAUCCAGAAGCUCUGGGGUAAGGCCUGAGAUUCUGCAUUUCUAACAAGCUCCCAGGUGAUGGUAA